rnacentral:lncRNA from 1 species
UUUAGUACCAUAAUUGAGGGUGUAAUUCUUGCCCGAUAUCUACAGUGCAAUAUUUAUCGGUAUCAGUAGAGAACUGGGCUGUUUUAUCCUGGAGANNNNNNNNNNNNNNNUGCACAAUUUUGGGCAGUGCCGCGAAACGUCUUAAAGAAAGCGUAUUCACCCGCGACUCAGUCCAGUAAUCUCUUCGGUGGCUGAAAAUUAUUUUUUUAACGAUUUUGAACCUCGGAAACAACAGUAAAUAUUGUAAUUGCAUCACGAGUGUCAAUCUCAAGGUCAAUGCGGUGAGAUUGAAACUCCAAUGCUUCCGUAAAGAAAGUGUGAGAGGAGUUGUUGGAACAUUGUUGAACAAGUUAGCAACUUAGCUACUUGUAUGAUGAACUUGGCAUAGAUGUAAACACAAGUAAAAGAACUAAAGGUGUGAAUUUGAAAAAGUUCACAUUUAAGUCCCACAUUGGAUGGGUCACUACCUUUAGUAGUGUUUAUAUACCACAAAGUGGCAACCAAGGGUGUGCCCUUGGGGUACCCACUUUUGUAAGAAAGGGAGACCGCACACAAUGUCGAAUACUCAGAAGUGAAAAAAUUAAUUAAAAAAUUAAUUUUCACUAAGUGUGCUUACCGUUUCAAAUGCGCACAUGUUUUGUGUGCUGAAUGUCAAGUCAAACGGAAUUGUUACCGUUAUUAUUUUGAACUCAGUCAUAACUGAGAUUCCUGAAAUCA